UACAGAGGUGGCAAGCGUUGUUCGGAAUUACUGGGCGUAAAGGGCGCGUAGGUGGCCAACUAAGUCAGACGUGAAAUCCCCAGGCUCAACUUGGGAACUGCGUCUGAUACUGGAUGGCUUGAAUUCGGGAGAGGGAUGCAGAAUUCCAGGUGUAGCGGUGAAAUGCGUAGAUAUCUGGAGGAAUACCGGUGGCGAAGGCGGCAUCCUGGACCGAUAUUGACACUGAGGAGCGAAAGCCAGGGGAGCAAACGGG
rnacentral:rRNA from 1 species